rnacentral:rRNA from 2 species
AAGCUCGUAGUUGAAUUUCGGGAUCAGUAGGUCGGUCAUGCCUAUGGUAUGUACUGGUUUUACUGAUUCCUCCUUCUUGAUGAUCUGUAAUGUCAUUAAUUUGGUGUUGCAGGGAGUCAGGACUGUUACUUUGAAAAAAUUAGAGUGUUUAAAGCAGGCAUACGCUUGAAUACAUUAGCAUGGAAUAAUGAAAUAGGACGUUCGAUCCUAUUUUGUUGGUUUCUAGGAUUGACGUAAUGAUUAAUAGGGAUAGUUGGG